rnacentral:rRNA from 1 species
UGCCAGCCGCCGCGGUAAUACGGAGGGUGCAAGCGUUGUUCGGAUUUACUGGGCGUAAAGGGCGCGUAGGCGGUUUUCCAAGCCAAGGGUGAAAUCCCGGAGCUCAACUCCGGAACUGCUCUUGGAACUGGGAGACUAGAGACAAGCAGAGGCAGGUGGAAUUCCAGGUGUAGAGGUGAAAUUCGUAGAUAUCUGGAGGAACACCGGUGGCGAAGGCGACUUCCUGGCCCAAUACUGACGCUCAGGUGCGAAAGCGUGGGUAGCGAACAGGAUUAGAUA